GCUAAGGCCCAAAACGACGUCGUUUUAUACCCAAGAUAAAUACUCUAAAAAAACAAAAAUCAGUUUAAACCCACUUUAAAAAAAAACCAGAGAGCUUUCAAAGUCUUUCUCUAACAGCCUCAAAUCCGACCAAAUGGGGCCACUGUCUGCGCCGCCGUGGAACCACCGUAGGCCGUUGCCGGAGCGACGUGGGGAUCGGAUUUUCAACCCGAUUUAAAGACCAUUUUAAGGCCUAACCUUCUAGGCACAAAAGCCGAAAGAAGAGAACCCCCCACACCCCUUCGGGGUCCAAUUUCAGUGACCAAACAAGGCCACCGGCGAUGGGAUUUACGGCGAACAUGUAUGGCCCUCUUCCCUUCUUCUUUCUAUUUAUUUUAAUAUGUAGAAAAAGAGGAUAAAAAAAAAGAAAAAUGAACCGAAUGAAAAUAAGAAAAAACGAAUCUGAAAUAACAAAAAAAAAUCACCUUUCAAAAUUGAUUUCUGUUUUUAUUUCUCAGAAUUCGAUCUAUAUUCUUUUAUUUCAAACUCUCUUUUUUGAUACAAAAAUCCCCCCUUUUACAAAGAAAUCGUAUUGGCUUUUUAUAGCCAAUAUACAAUACUUUUGCUGCUACUUGUUGUUGUUUCUGCCUCUGUUCGGUAGUCUUUUCUUUCUCUUUUCUUGCAGGUGGUCAGCAGAGGCGGAGCUUGCUAUUUUGGUGCAAUGCUUGGCUGGCGGUGGCUAGGGUGUCAGGUAAGCCUCGGGACGAGGCGUGGAUGGUACGCCCGAGGGAGCGGCGCACAUGGGAAAGGCAGGGAACCCUAGGGUUCCCUGAUGUUUUUUACUUUUUGGGCCCAAUUGGGCCAAUUUAGAUUUUGGGCCUUGGGCCGGGUAUUGUAAUUGGGCUUCGAGAUUGGGUUAACCAUUUGGUUUGGAGGCUCGGGAAAAUUUGGGCUGUACAAACACAUUUUUUUUAAUAUUUGUGUUAUAUCCCUUCUAUGUGUCACCAACAAACGAAUCACAAGUUAUGCACGUGCUUACGUUGGGUGAGUUUGUGAAUCUUGAAUCACAAUCCAUGUUAUGGUAAACCUUCAUGAGAUCACUUUCAUUGAGUGCACGUGGAGUUUUAGACUAAUUUAUAACUCAGUUGUCCUAAGAGGUCAUAUUUUUGAGUUAGAACGUUGUAAUACCCGAUUUUGGCACGGGUCUAAAAGGCUCUUAGUAAACAAAUAAAAAAUAAAAAAAAUAGAAAAAUAGGGUCCAAAUUACAGUGGGCCAAUACGACCUAAACUCAAAAUACAUGGCCCGAUUUCAAACGGUGGCCCAACUACAAAUGCGGCCCAAAAUAAAUGAAGAAACCCUAGGGUUUUCUAAGGAUCAGCAGCGCCGCAACCAUGCCCUCCAAGCCACCAGCG
rnacentral:lncRNA from 1 species